AGAGUUUGAUCCUGGCUCAGAUUGAACGCUGGAGGCGUGCUUAACACAUGCAAGUCGUGCGAGAAAGGGACUUCGGUCCUGAGUAGAGCGGCGCACGGGUGAGUAACGCGUGGGUAAUCUCCCUUGGUGAUCGGGAUAACAGCGGGAAACUGCUGCUAAUACCGGAUAAUCUUCAUGUUUAACUUCAUGGGGUAAAGGUGGCCUCUGCUUGCAAGCUACCACAUCAAGAUGAGCCCGCGUCUCAUUAGCUAGUUGGUAGGGUAAUGGCCUACCAAGGCUACGAUGAGUAGCUGGUCUGAGAGGAUGACCAGCCACACUGGGACUGGAACACGGCCCAGACUCCUACGGGAGGCAGCAGUGGGGAAUAUUGCGCAAUGGGCGAAAGCCUGACGCAGCGACGCCUCGUGAGGGAUGAAGGUCUUCGGAUCGUAAACCUCUGUCAAGAGGGAAGAAACCCUUGGAUUCGAAUAGGGUCCUUGGCUGACGGUA
rnacentral:rRNA from 1 species